AGAGUUUGAUCCUGGCUCAGAACGAACGCUGGCGGCGUGGAUGAGGCAUGCAAGUCGAACGAGAACCCCGGUGUAGUAAUAUAUUGGGGGGACAGUGGCGGACGGGUGAGUAAUGCAUGGGCAACCUGCCCUUGAGUUGGGGAUAACCUCCCGAAAGGGGGACUAAUACCGAAUGUGGUCUUCCCGCGCAUGCGGGAAUGUCUAAAGAUGGGGAUCCGCAAGGACCUGUCGCUCAAGGAUGGGCCCAUGUCCUAUCAGCUUGUUGGCGAGGUAACGGCUCACCAAGGCUUACGGGUAGCUGGUCUGAGAGGAUGACCAGCCACACUGGGACUGAGACACUGCCCAGACUCCUACGGGAGGCUGCAGUCGAGGAUCUUGGACAAUGCGCGAAAGCGUGAUCCAGCGACGCCGCGUGCAGGAUGAAGGCCUUCGGGUCGUAAACUGCUGUCGUGAGGGAACAAUGGGUUCCGGGCCAACACCCCGGGAUCGUGAUAGUACCUCAGGAGGAAGCCACGGCUAACUCUGUGCCAGCAGCCGCGGUAAUACAGAGGUGGCGAGCGUUGUUCGGAUUUACUGGGCGUAAAGGGUGCGUAGGCGGCUUCGUGUGUCGGUUGUGAAAUCUCACUGCUCAACGGUGAAACGGCAUCCGAAACUACGGGGCUAGAGUACAGGAGAGGAAGGUGGAAUUCUCGGUGUAGCGGUGAAAUGCGUAGAUAUCGAGAGGAACACCCGUGGCGAAGGCGACCUUCUGGACUGAUACUGACGCUGAGGCACGAAGGCCGGGGGAGCAAACAGGAUUAGAUACCCUGGUAGUCCCGGCAGUAAACGUUGUGCACUUGGUGUGGGAGGAGUUAUCCCCUUCCGUGCCGGAGUUAACGCGUUAAGUGCACCGCCUGGGGAGUACGAUCGCAAGAUUAAAACUCAAAGGAAUUGACGGGGGCCCGCACAAGCGGUGGAGCAUGUGGCUUAAUUCGAUGCAACGCGAAGAACCUUACCAGGGCUUGACAUGCAGCUGCACG
rnacentral:rRNA from 1 species